rnacentral:tRNA from 1 species
GCCCUAGUAGCUCAGCCUGGCAGAGCGAAGGUUUCGUAAACCUUAGGUCCAGGGUUCAAAUCCCUGCUAGGGCU